rnacentral:lncRNA from 1 species
GUGAUCGCCAAAAUUAUAAGAUGGGGAACCUCUUUGGUUCAAUAAUUGCAUUGAUGGUUUUAGUGCUUUCCAAGCUCCUUCCUUCCUUGAAAGGUUUUGACUUUAAGCUUUUUUAAGGGUAGCUCCUCUCGGCGAAAGGUUCUUGAUUAACGUUAAUUUAUAUGCCCAGACAAUUCACAUAAUACUCCCUGCAACUUUCUCCCACUUCAUAAUUCUUCUUUGCUCCUUGCCCUGUUUAUUUUGGAAUAUCAAGAUUAUUCGAUUCAAGGUAAACAUAUUUAUCUCCUCCUCUCAUUUUGUUUGGAUUUCACCUCAUUCAUAUUAUUAUUUUAUGAUCUUUAAAUGUUUCAUUUAUUAAAUAAUUAUUAAUAUUUGAUUCUUGCUUUUUUGCUCGUUAAGUGUUUUGAGUGAUAAGGCUCAAUUGGAGGAGAUUCCUAGUCAUCAUUACUAAUUUGACUCAACUGCAACCAUCUGAUCUGAAACAAUU